GGGGAAAGCUUGUGGGAGAGCGCUUCCCUUACAAGGAAGAAGUCACAGGUUCGAGUCCUGUUUCGCCCACCA
rnacentral:tRNA from 1 species